GUGUCGUAUGCUGUUGGGUGUUGUAUCGUUGAUGGCUGGGUCGACCGCUGGUGUAGUGGUGUCUCCUUGGUAUGGUGGAAACCAAACUGCAACGCCGCCGCCUUCCUACACAACUUACGCAACGACCAGUUCCUGCACCGAGGUCUUCAAGUACUACACCACUAAAGGACCGGAGUUUUAUACCACAACUUACGCUGCCCCGAGCCACUACACUGACGCCCUGAAAUAUUACUCUGCCGCUCUUCCCCGAGUUACUACACCACCAAGGCGACGGAGCAUGACUACGCAUGCUGCCCCAUCCUACUACACCGAGGCUCCCAACUGCUACACCGAGGCUCCCGCUGAUUACUCCACUGAAACGGUCGAAUACUACACCGAAGCGGCGAAGUACUACUCUGCCCCGAUCUAAACAACCACAACUGAGGCGGCCAAGUAUUACGCUGUCCCGACUUACUACACAGAAGCUGCUCUUUCGUACUACGUUGAACAGAAAUACUACACUGAUGCUCGAUGAUGCAGUUCACUACACCGCAGGCCCCAAGUACUACACCGAAGAAGCCGCCUAUUACACAACAACGUAUGCUGCCUAGUUACUACACCGAGUCUCCCGAGUACUACAUCACUUAAGGCGCCGGAAUUCUACACGUCUAUGUAUGCUGCUCCUGCCUGCUACACCGAGGCCCGGCAUUACUACAACACUGAAGCGCUCAAGUACUACACUACAACCUACGCUGCCCCGAGCUACUACACCUACGUCCCGAAGUAUUACUGUGCGUAAAAGGAGUCGUCUAAAAAAAAAAAAAGUCGCGCUCAAACUGCAAUGCCCCAUCUGUCACCAACUGCAUUCCUCAUCGUGUAACCGAUUCGCAAUUAUGGACAUCUAUGGCGUCGUGCUCCUGUUGGGUGUUGUAUCGUUGAUGGUUGGAUCGACCGCUGGUGUAGCGAUGUCUCCUUGGUAAGGCGGAAACCAAACCGCAACGCCGCCGCCUUCCUACACAACUUAGGCAACGACCAGUUCCUGCACCGAGGUCUUCAAGUACUACACCACUAAAGCACCGGAGUUUUAUACCACAACUUACUCUGCCCCGAGCCACUACACUGACGCCCUGAAGUAUUACUCUGCCCCGAGUUACUACACCACCAAGACGACGGAGCAGGACUACGCAUGCUGCCCCAUUCUACUACACCAAGGCUCCCAGCUGCUACACCAAGGCUCCCGCUCAUUACUCCACCAAAACGGUCGAAUACUACACCGAAGCGGCAAAGUACUUCUCUGCCCCGAUCAACACAACCACAACUGAGGCGGCUAAGAAAGACGCAGUUCCGACUUGCUACACCGAAGCUGCUCUUUCGUGCUACGUUGAACUGAAAUACUACACUGACGCUGCUGCCUACUUCACCACGACCCACGUUACACCUAGCUACAACACGGCAGCCCCCAAGUGCUACACCGAAGAAGCCGCAUUUUACACAACCACGUAAGCUGCCUAGUUUACUACAUCGAGGAAUUUAAGUAUUACCCUGCUCCAAACUACUACCAAACUGAGGUUCAUAUUUAUUGCAAUUCUCCCGAUUAUGCCACCACUACUCACGCUGCUCCGACCUUUACACCGAAGUUCUGAAGUAUUUCUCUGGAUGUGUUGAAAGAUUGCUGAAAUACAAGAUUGAUUGAUAAA
rnacentral:lncRNA from 1 species